rnacentral:lncRNA from 1 species
CACUUGAACUUUUGCACUCCGAGCAAAACUCAAAUGAAAAAUUUAAAAACAAAUCACAAGCAGUCGACAUAUUCCAGGUUUCAAGCUUCAAACCUUGGGUCAAAAUUCAAAGAUUGGCACAAUUCUUAUCUAUCAACUUUCAAUAAUAAUCUUGCGUGUGUGUGUGUGUACUGUCUCCCACUGUCAACCAAAGUAAUGUCAAGAUCCCUCUCUGAAACUACCAUUCUAGAUGCUAAGCUGUCAUUGUUGGGAAAUUGUUUCAUAAAACACUUUUAUAAACGCAGCGGAAUUUUAAAAUU